GGGAAAUAAAAAAAUCUCCCAGCGUAUGUGAAAACUCAAAAUAUCUGCAUAUCAAGAAAAAUGAUUAUUGAAAGACCUGCGAAAGCUAAUAAAUCGCUCUUGUUUUGGUUAAUAUAAAAUCACGGUUAUCAUGCUGCCCUACUUUUUUUCUCUAGAAAAAAACUAUAAAGGCAUGAUUUGCAUAGUGGUAAAUCCAUCUAUCCACACACAUACGUACUAGCAGCAAGAGG
rnacentral:lncRNA from 1 species